AUAGACUUUCAACAUGGCCAUUAAGUGACAUUCUCUGUUAGUUAAACUGAUUGACUCUCGUUUUCGUUUUUCUUGCUGCGCGCUGUAGUCGCUCAUAUAUGACGUCAGGUGUUUUACACCUUGCGCGUCGCACGUGGCUUUAUCGUUCGCGUUAUCCGCUUCUCACAGUUCCUGACCGUGGCCUUCAGGCGUCUUUUCAUCCAAGAAGUGGGAGAGCCCACAGGAAACCCACAUGGACACAGGAAGAACAAGCACAGAAACGCCACGCAGUCACUAACCCGAGCUGAGGAUUGAACCGUGGACGCAGGAGCUGAACAUGUAUUUGAGAGUUGCCCUGGGUCAGUGCCCAGUCCAGUGUGUGUCCAGCGGUCAGACAGCGGUCCGGCGCUCUGCUCUCUGUUAGUCUGUGGUAGGUGAUGUGAGUCUGUCACUGUUGGAAGUUUAUUUCGCAAAGCCGCAGAGGCGUACCUCACUGCUGCCUGACGACAGCUGAACCAUGGACACUGGGCCGUGGGCUCUAAAAAUAAACAGGCAGUCGGACGGGCCCAUGUGUCACUCAGAAAGGAGUGGAGCAUGGAUAGCGAGAACACCCAGAUUUAUAAACACAGACUUUUCUGCCAUGGGUGGAAGAAACAUGAAUGCACACACUAGACUGCUUUUCUUUCCAUUUGUCUCUCAGUGGAUGCCGCUUUGAAAAGUUUCACACCUAAUUUGUGCUGCAUUUACACUCACUCUCCACCAGCUUAAUGUAUAGACUGACAUUAACGGUACUUUCAUAUAAAAAUAUAUAUUAUAACCACAGCUCUGUUGGAUUCUCAAAUCUGACAGGAGGAUGAUUAAGUUGAUUAAUUCAAAUCACAUGUUUAUAUUAAUGUGCUUUUCUAAUACAGAUUAUUCAGAAGGACAUGUAUGGUGAAAGAGCUACACUAAUAAUAAUAAUAAUAAUAAUAAAGCUGUAAGCAGCAUUUUUGGGGGCCAAGCACCCAGAUUUGGUGAGCCGCACAUUCACAGACACACUACAAUUGUUGCAUAAGCAAUCACAGGAAAGCAAAGCCAUAACUAUUCAAGAAAGGGAAUUCAAAGGGAUUCAAGAGUGAUUUGUAGUUUCAUGCAUUUGCCAGUCCGUUAUGGAAUUCCCAUUAUAGCCAAAUCGUUUGGAGUAUUCAAUAUUCCUUUGUUAUAUUUUCUUAAGUCUUAGUCCGAAGAUGACUUCUGCCAAAUUUGGUGAUGGUUGGGCAAAAUUUGUAGGCGUAGUAGCAAAAAACAAACAAACCUACCUGUUUUUAACUAAAUCCAAGAUGGCAGAAAAUCUUCAUUAGGUGGAAAUUGACAUACGGUGCAUUGAACUCAUCUUGAGCCAGGGAAUCCAGGGUUUAUAUUUGGAAUGCUAUAUUUUAAAUUUGGACACACGGUUCAAAAGUUGCGAACAUAAACAGACUGACCCGAUGGUGGUGCUAAAACGUUGGCAGCACUUGGCCCAAAUUGGGUCAGAAUAGAUGCCAAGGGCUGCCAUAGACACUCUAGCCAGAAGAAGAUGAUGUGAAACUGUGAUUUAUUUUUCCCUCUUGACUUGAGAGUGAAAAAAAAAAAGUAGUGAGUGUAUAACUCUAUAACUGUUUUAACAUAACAUAAUUGAUAGGAGGAAGUAACUGUUCUCGUGGACCUUCCACAACAUAAAAUAUAGCAAUAAACAGUUUUUAAAAU